GCAAAAUGAUCCUAAAACCUGGGUGGAUCCUGGAGAAUUCAAGCCAGAGAGAUUUGGGAGCUGCGAAGGAAUGAGAGACGGAUUCAGAUUCAUGCCUUUUGGGACAGGUAGAAGGGGAUGCCCUGGGGAAGGCUUGGCAAUGUCUAUUGUUGGAUUGGCUUUGGGAUCACUGAUUCAAUGCUUUGAGUGGGAGAAGAUUGGCGAG
rnacentral:misc_RNA from 1 species